CUCCAUCUUAGCACAUUCCAUCUAGAGGCUUGAUGAAGUAAGGACAAGGCUGGAGAAGCCCCCAUGGCAAAGAACUGUUCUAGGAACCACAGGUGGUCUUCACGACCUGAUGGUGGCCUCUAGCCCAGAGCCAACAAGAAUGCAGAUCCUAAAUCCUUUGGCCACAAGGAAAUGAACUCUGCCAACAGCCUGAAUGAGCACAGAGUUGGGUUCUUUCUCAGUAAAGCCAUCAGAUGAGAACACAGCCCAAAUGACACCUUGGAUACAGCCUUGGGACACUGAGCAGAGGACUCAGCUGAGCCAUGCCCAAACGCAUGACUCACAAAAACUACGAGAUAAUCAAUGUAUGUAUUGUUCUAAGCUGCUACAUUUGUAGUACUUUGUUAUGCCCCGAAAUAGAAAACUAAUAUACAUUCCAACCAAAUAAUCUGUCUGUCACACAGGUUCUCCAAAAUUGCCUUUUCAACUGAUAUUAUAUCUCCUCCAUCAUGAAUCCUUUCUAGCUGGUUUACUUUUCAGAAUCACUCAAUUACUCCUCUCCUAUGGUGAUCUUGUACAUCUGAAGAAUUUUUAGGCUUUCUCAAGCCUUCACAGUUGACCAGGGUCAUACAACAAGCUGUUUCGGCUUUCUGACAAUACUGUUUGGGUCAGUUGAAUCCAGUCAUUUUGCAGUUUCUGAUGUCACCAACUUUGUUGAAGAUGAAGCAGGCUCAGAAGAGAGUCAGAUGGGCUUUGAAUUGUAACUAUGUCCAUCAUCGGUUACACAAACAUGGAAGAUUAUUUCAUCUCCCAGUUUCUUCAUCAGUAAAUUCAGAAUGAUAAUAUAUGGCUUGAAGAGUUGUUGAGAGGAUAACAUUUUAUAAUAUAGACAAAUUGCCUAAUCUAGAGCCACAUACCUUGAUUACUAAUAAAUGGGUCUUAGAACACUAAGAAUACUAGACACUCCUCUGAAUUACAGAAUAUUUUUGGUUCUUUGUGGAAGUAAAGAGGCAUAUAAUACAUUCCAGAGUAAGAUGUGUUGUUUGGAG
rnacentral:lncRNA from 1 species